rnacentral:rRNA from 1 species
UACGUAGGUGGCAAGCGUUGUCCGGAAUUAUUGGGCGUAAAGAGCUCGUAGGCGGUCUGUCGCGUCGGAUGUGAAAGCCCGGGGCUUAACCCCGGGUCUGCAUUCGAUACGGGCAGACUAGAGUGUGGUAGGGGAGAUCGGAAUUCCUGGUGUAGCGGUGAAAUGCGCAGAUAUCAGGAGGAACACCGGUGGCGAAGGCGGUUCUCUGGGCAUUACCUGACGCUGAGGAGCGAAAGUGUGGGGAGCGAACAGG